CCCUUAGAUGUUCUGGGCCGCACCAGCGCUACACUGAAGGAGGCAGCGUGUACUCCUGGAUCGAAAGAUUUGGGUAACCCGCGAAUCUCCUUCGUGCUAGGGAUUGAGGUUUGCAAUUAUCCUUCAUGAACGAGGAAUUCCCAGUAAGUGCAAGUCAUAAGCUUGCGCUGACUACGUCCCUGCCCUUUGUACACACCGCCCGUCGCUACUACCGAUUGAAUGAUUUAGUGAGGACUUCGGACUGGGACCGAUGCGGCUUUCGGGCUGCGUCGGUAUUCUGGAAAGAUGUCCAAACUGUAUCAUUUAGAGGAAGUAAAAGUCGUAACA
rnacentral:rRNA from 1 species